UCAGAUUAUAGAAAAAACUUUGUUUGCGGAAGAUCUAGGAAUAUUACACCAUUACACGGAAGUGUAAUUUCCUAUAUUUGUUUAUUACAUGUAGUAACAACACAAAGACAAGAAGGAUGAAUAUUUUGCUUUACCUGCUCUUGAAAGUGAUUGUUGUAGUGCUAAUUAUGUCACAGGGAGUAACUUCCUAUUUGCGUUUUGGUCGUGCUGCUGAUGCAAUUGGGGGUAGCGAAUUGCUGAAAAGUAACCAAACUGGAGAAUAAACGCGAAAUGUUGUAAUAAACACUGAGCUCUG